rnacentral:rRNA from 1 species
CAGUAGCCGCGGUAAUGCGUAGGGUGCAAGCGUUAAUCGGAAUUACUGGGCGUAAAGCGUGCGCAGGCGGUUCGUUAAGACAGAUGUGAAAUCCCCGGGCUUAACCUGGGAACUGCAUUUGUGACUGGCGGGCUAGAGUACAGAAGAGGAGAGUGGAACUCCAUGUGUAGCGGUGAAAUGCGUAGAUAUAUGGAGGAACACCGAUGGCGAAGGCAGCCCCCUGGGCCAAUACUGACGCUCAUGCACGAAAGCGUGGAGAGCAAACAGGAUUAGAUACCCCGGUAGUCCCUGUCUCUUAUAC